rnacentral:rRNA from 1 species
GAGGAACUUGUUCCUCGAGUCGUUGAUUUCACACUGCCGAGAAAAGCCUCUAGCUAGAAUAACGGUGCCCGUACCGCAAACCGACACAGGUAGUCAAGAUGAGAAUUCUAAGGUGAGCGAGCGAACUCUCGUUAAGGAACUCGGCAAAAUGACCCCGUAACUUCGGGAGAAGGGGUGCUCUUUGAGGUUCACGCUUCGAAGAGCCGCAGUGAAUAGGCCCAAGCGACUGUUUAUCAAAAACACAGGUCUCUGCUAAACCGUAAGGUGACGUAUAGGGGCUGACGCCUGCCCGGUGCUGGAAGGUUAAGAGGAGUGGUUAGCGCAAGCGAAGCUACGAAUCGAAGCCCCAGUAAACGGCGGCCGUAACUAUAACGGUCCUAAGGUAGCGAAAUUCCUUGUCGGGUAAGUUCCGACCCGCACGAAAGGCGUAACGAUUUGGGCACUGUCUCAACGAGAGACUCGGUGAAAUCAUAGUACCGGUGAAGAUGCCGGUUACCCGCGACAGGACGGAAAGACCCCGUGGAGCUUUACUGUAGCCUGAUAUUGAAAUUCGGUACAGUUUGUACAGGAUAGGUAGGAGCCUUAGAAGCGUGAGCGCUAGCUUACGUGGAGGCAUUGGUGGGAUACUACCCUAAUUGUAUUGGAUUUCUAACCCGCAGCACUUAUCGUGCUGGGAGACAGUGUCAGGCGGGCAGUUUGACUGGGGCGGUCGCCUCCUAAAGAGUAACGGAGGCGCUCAAAGGUUCCCUCAGAAUGGUUGGAAAUCAUUCAUAGAGUGUAAAGGCAUAAGGGAGCUUGACUGCGAGACCUACAAGUCGAGCAGGGUCGAAAGACGGACUUAGUGAUCCGGUGGUUCCGCAUGGAAGGGCCAUCGCUCAACGGAUAAAAGCUACCCCGGGGAUAACAGGCUUAUCUCCCCCAAGAGUUCACAUCGACGGGGAGGUUUGGCACCUCGAUGUCGGCUCAUCGCAUCCUGGGGCUGUAGUCGGUCCCAAGGGUUGGGCUGUUCGCCCAUUAAAGCGGUACGCGAGCUGGGUUCAGAACGUCGUGAGACAGUUCGGUCCCUAUCCGUCGUGGGCGUAGGAAAUUUGAGAGGAGCUGUCCUUAGUACGAGAGGACCGGGAUGGACAUACCUCUGGUG